GACGAACGCUGGCGGCGUGCUUAACACAUGCCAGUCGAACGGAAAGGCCCUGCUUGCGGGGUGCUCGAGUGGCGAACGGGUGAGUAACACGUGGGUGAUCUGCCCCUUACUUUGGGAUAAGCCUGUGAAACUGGGUCUAAUACUGGAUAGGACCAUGCUGUAGGUGGUGUGGUGGAAAGAUUAGUUUCGUUAAGGGAUGAGCUCGCGGCCUAUCAGCUUGUUGGUGGGGUAAUGGCCUACCAAGGCGUCGACGGGUAGCCGGCCUGAGAGGGUGGACGGCCACAUUGGGACUGCGACACGGCCCAGAAUCCUACGGGCGGCAGCAGUGGGGAAUAUUGUAAAAUGGGAGCAAGCCUGAUGCAGCGACGCCGCGUGGGGGAUGAAGGCCUUCGGGUUGUAAAGUCCUUUCAGCCAUGGAGAAGCGCUUGUGGUGACGGUAGUGGUAGAAGAAGCAACGGCUAACUACGUG
rnacentral:rRNA from 1 species